AUUGAACGCUGGCGGCAGGCCUAACACAUGCAAGUCGAGCGGAUGAAGGGAGCUUGCUCCUGGAUUCAGCGGCGGACGGGUGAGUAAUGCCUAGGAAUCUGCCUGGUAGUGGGGGAUAACGUCCGGAAACGGGCGUUAAUACCGCAUACGUCCUGAGGGAGAAAGUGGGGGAUCUUCGGACCUCACGCUAUCAGAUGAGCCUAGGUCGGAUUAGCUAGUUGGUGGGGUAAAGGCCUACCAAGGCGACGAUCCGUAACUGGUCUGAGAGGAUGAUCAGUCACCCUGGAACUGAGACACGGUCCAGACUCCUACGGGAGGCAGCAGUGGGGAAUAUUGGACAAUGGGCGAAAGCCUGAUCCAGCCAUGCCGCGUGUGUGAAGAAGGUCUUCGGAUUGUAAAGCACUUUAAGUUGGGAGGAAGGGCAGUAAGUUAAUACCUUGCUGUUUUGACGUUACCAACAGAAUAAGCACCGGCUAACUUCGUG
rnacentral:rRNA from 1 species